rnacentral:lncRNA from 1 species
GGAGUGAAUAACUUGAAGCCUACAACAGCUAACUCGUUAGUCUAAAGCUACAGAGAAUCUUCCAGAGUCCAAAAGGCCAAACUUCCUGACUUAGUGCACUUUCUGUGACUUACAACAGAAGCCAGCACAGCAUCUAACACAUAGAGGGUGUGCCACAAAUAGUUACUGAAAAAAGAAAACAAGGAAUGAAGAAUUGAAUGAACAAAUACCAAAUGUGCUGCAUGAAUUUUGGAAGGAUACGACUGGAAAGAAAAAUGACCUCAAGGAUGACUCCAAAAUAUUUGAGUUGAAUGAUAGGAAGGCUGGAACUGCUAGCAACUGAAAUGGAAGACAAUGGGAGGAGGCAUUUG